GUAGGUGAACCUGCGGAAGGAUCAUUACAGAGUUCAUGCCCUCACGGGUAGACCUCCCACCCUUGUGUAUUUAUACUAUGUUGCUUUGGCAGGUUGCUGCACCCCUCGGGGGACAGCCCCAGCGCCUUCGGGCCUGGGAGUCGCCUGCCGGAGGAAAAACAAACUCUGAAUUGUUAGUGUCGUCUGAGUACUAUAUUUUAAUAGUUAAAACUUUCAACAACGGAUCUCUUGGUUCUG
rnacentral:misc_RNA from 1 species